rnacentral:rRNA from 1 species
AGAGUUUGAUUCUGGCUCAGAACGAACGCUGGCGGCGUGGAUAAGACAUGCAAGUCGAACGGGAUUAAAUGGGUAGCAAUAUUCGUUUAAUUCAGUGGCAAACGGGUGCGUAACACGUGGGAAUUAACCCGGAAGUGGGGGAUAGCUUGCCGAAAGGCAAGGUAAUACCGCAUGUGGUCGAAAGACUAAAGUGGGGGACCGCAAGGCCUCACGUUUCCGGACAAGCCCGCGGCCUAUCAGCUAGUUGGUGAGGUAAAAGCUCACCAAGGCUAUGACGGGUAGCUGGUCUGAGAGGACGACCAGCCACACUGGAACUGAGACACGGUCCAGACACCUACGGGUGGCAGCAGUCGAGAAUCUUUCACAAUGGGGGCAACCCUGAUGGAGCGACGCCGCGUGGAGGAUGAAGGGCUUCGGCUCGUAAACUCCUGUCACCGCAGAACAAGGUUUAUCAGUUAAUAGCUGUGUAAAUUUGAUGGUAUGCGGAGAGGAAGGGACGGCUAACUCUGUGCCAGCAGCCGCGGUAAUACAGAGGUCCCAAGCGUUGUUCGGAUUUACUGGGCGUAAAGGGUGCGUAGGAGGUUGGCAAAGUCGGAUGUGAAAUCUCACCGCUUAACGGUGAAAUUGCGUUCGAUACUGGUUGACUAGAGUACUGGAGGGGAAAGCGGAAUUCCUGGUGUAGCGGUGAAAUGCGUAGAUAUCAGGAGGAACACCAACGGCGAAGGCAGCUUUCUGGACAGUAACUGACUCUGAGGCACGAAGGCUAGGGGAGCGAACGGGAUUAGAUACCCCGGUAGUCCUAGCAGUAAACGUUGUUCAUUAGGUGUAGGCGGAUUCGACCCCGUCUGUGCCGUCGCUAACGCAUUAAAUGAACCGCCUGGGGAGUACGGUCGCAAGAUUAAAACUCAAAGAAAUUGACGGGGGCCCGCACAAGCGGUGGAGUAUGUGGCUUAAUUCGAUGCGCGAAGAACCUUACCUGGUCUUGACAUGCAUUGUUCAUCCGGUGAAAGCCGGUGGCCCGCAAGGGCGAAUUGCACAGGUGCUGCAUGGCUGUCGUCAGCUCGUGUCGUGAGAUGUUGGGUUAAGUCCCGCAACGAGCGCAACCCCUAUGAUUAGUUAUACGCCGCAAGGCUCUCUAGUCAGACUGCCCUGUUCAACGGGGAGGAAGGUGGGGACGACGUCAAGUCAGUAUGGCCCUUAUGACCAGGGCU